UACGUAGGGCGCAAGCGUUGUCCGGAAUUAUUGGGCGUAAAGAGCUCGUAGGCGGUCUGUCACGUCUGCCGUGAAAACCCGAGGCUUAACCUCGUGGCUUGCGGUGGAUACGGGCAGACUAGAGGUAGGUAGGGGAGAACGGAAUUCCCGGUGUAGCGGUGAAAUGCGCAGAUAUCGGGAGGAACACCGGUGGCGAAGGCGGUUCUCUGGGCCUUACCUGACGCUGAGGAGCGAAAGCAUGGGGAGCGAACAGGAUUAGAUACCCUGGUAGUCCAUGCCGUAAACGUUGGGCGCUAGGUGUGGGGUCCUUCCACGGAUUCCGUGCCGUAGCUAACGCAUUAAGCGCCCCGCCUGGGGAGUACGGCCGCAAGGCUAAAGCUCAAAGGAAUUGACGGGGGCCCGCACAAGCGGCGGAGCAUGUUGCUUAAUUCGACGCAACGCGAAGAACCUUACCAAGGUUUGACAUCACCGGAAAACUCGCAGAGAUGCGGGGUCCUUUUGGGCCGGUGACAGGUGGUGCAUGGCUGUCGUCAGCUCGUGUCGUGAGAUGUUGGGUUAAGUCCCGCAACGAGCGCAACCCUUGUUCCAUGUUGCCAGCACGUAAUGGUGGGGACUCAUGGGAGACUGCCGGGGUCAACUCGGAGGAAGGUGGGGAUGACGUCAAGUCAUCAUGCCCCUUAUGUCUUGGGCUGCAAACAUGCUACAAUGGCCGGUACAAAGGGCAGCGAAACCGCGAGGUGGAGCGAAUCCCGGAAAGCCGGUCUCAGUUCGGAUUGGGGUCUGCAACUCGACCCCAUGAAGUCGGAGUCGCUAGUAAUCGCAGAUCAGCAACGCUGCGGUGAAUACGUUCCCGGGCCU
rnacentral:rRNA from 1 species